AUGAAACCGGCAGAAAAAAUGCAGACAAAGCCAUUCAAGGAGGAGGCAGAGGAACCUCAGUUUGAUAAAUCUCCCUAACAGUUUGUUUAGCUUGGCCAUGAGAAGCGAGGAGACAAAAGAAACUUGGGUUUAUGGGAAUGGCAAAACGGCAAGUCAUAUAUCGGCAUCAGGCUCGUGUUUUCCGAGUUCU
rnacentral:sRNA from 1 species